UCAGGAUGAACGCUAGCUACAGGCUUAACACAUGCAAGUCGAGGGGCAGCAUGGUCUUAGCUUGCUAAGGCCGAUGGCGACCGGCGCACGGGUGAGUAACACGUAUCCAACCUGCCGUCUACUCUUGGACAGCCUUCUGAAAGGAAGAUUAAUACAAGAUGGCAUCAUGAGUCCGCAUGUUCACAUGAUUAAAGGUAUUCCGGUAGACGAUGGGGAUGCGUUCCAUUAGAUAGUAGGCGGGGUAACGGCCCACCUAGUCUUCGAUGGAUAGGGGUUCUGAGAGGAAGGUCCCCCACAUUGGAACUGAGACACGGUCCAAACUCCUACGGGAGGCAGCAGUGAGGAAUAUUGGUCAAUGGGCGCAAGCCUGAACCAGCCAAGUAGCGUGAAGGAUGACUGCCCUAUGGGUUGUAAACUUCUUUUAUAAAGGAAUAAAGUCGGGUAUGGAUACCCGUUUGCAUGUACUUUAUGAAUAAGGAUCGGCUAACUCCGUGCCAGCAGCCGCGGUAAUACGGAGGAUCCGAGCGUUAUCCGGAUUUAUUGGGUUUAAAGGGAGCGUAGAUGGAUGUUUAAGUCAGUUGUGAAAGUUUGCGGCUCAACCGUAAAAUUGCAGUUGAUACUGGAUAUCUUGAGUGCAGUUGAGGCAGGCGGAAUUCGUGGUGUAGCGGUGAAAUGCUUAGAUAUCACGAAGAACUCCGAUUGCGAAGGCAGCCUGCUAAGCUGCAACUGACAUUGAGGCUCGAAAGUGUGGGUAUCAAACAGGAUUAGAUACCCUGGUAGUCCACACGGUAAACGAUGAAUACUCGCUGUUUGCGAUAUACUGCAAGCGGCCAAGCGAAAGCGUUAAGUAUUCCACCUGGGGAGUACGCCGGCAACGGUGAAACUCAAAGGAAUUGACGGGGGCCCGCACAAGCGGAGGAACAUGUGGUUUAAUUCGAUGAUACGCGAGGAACCUUACCCGGGCUUAAAUUGCAGAUGAAUUACGGUGAAAGCCGUAAGCCGCAAGGCAUCUGUGAAGGUGCUGCAUGGUUGUCGUCAGCUCGUGCCGUGAGGUGUCGGCUUAAGUGUCAUAACGAGCGCAACCCUUGUUGUCAGUUACUAACAGGUUCCGCUGAGGACUCUGACAAGACUGCCAUCGUAAGAUGUGAGGAAGGUGGGGAUGACGUCAAAUCAGCACGGCCCUUACGUCCGGGGCUACACACGUGUUACAAUGGGGGGUACAGAGGGCCGCUACCACGCGAGUGGAUGCCAAUCCCAAAAACCUCUCUCAGUUCGGACUGGAGUCUGCAACCCGACUCCACGAAGCUGGAUUCGCUAGUAAUCGCGCAUCAGCCACGGCGCGGUGAAUACGUUCCCGGGCCUUGUACACACCGCCCGUCAAGCCAUGGGAGCCGGGGGUACCUGAAGUGCGUAACCGCGAGGAGCGCCCUAGGGUAAAACUGG
rnacentral:rRNA from 1 species